UACGGAGGGUGCAAGCGUUAUCCGGAUUCACUGGGUUUAAAGGGUGCGUAGGUGGGAAUGUAAGUCAGUGGUGAAAUCUCCGUGCUUAACAUGGAAACUGCCAUUGAUACUAUGUUUCUUGAAUUUUCUGGAGGUCAGCGGAAUAUGUCAUGUGGCGGUGAAAUGCUUAGAUAUGACAUAGAACACCAAUUGCGAAGGCAGCUGACUACAGGGACAUUGACACUGAGGCACGAAAGCGUGGGGAUCAAACAGG
rnacentral:rRNA from 1 species